UUUUUUUUUUUUUUUUUUUACCAGGGAUCAAACCUAGGAACUUGUGCUUGCACGCAGGCACUAUGCCGCUGAGCUACAUCGCCAGCCCUAACAUCUCAUGUCUGGAUCACUCAGGUUGGCUCUGAAGACAUUUGAUGGUUAUUCCAUCGGAGGAAAUAGUCAUUCCAUCCUUCACAUCUGUUUGUAAAAAUUUUUAAACUUUAUUGGUUAUUGCUGUUCUAUACCCUCUGCA
rnacentral:lncRNA from 1 species